AGUGAACGCUGGCGGUAGGCCUAACACAUGCAAGUCGAACAGCAGCACAGUAAGAGCUUGCUCUUACGGGUGGCGAGUGGCGGACGGGUGAGGAAUACAUCGGAAUCUACUUUUUCGUGGGGGAUAAUGUAGGGAAACUUACGCUAAUACCGCAUACGACCUACGGGUGAAAGCAGGGGAUCUUCGGACCUUGCGCGAUUGAAUGAGCCGAUGUCGGAUUAGCUAGUUGGCGGGGUAAAGGCCCACCAAGGCGACGAUCCGUAGCUGGUCUGAGAGGAUGAUCAGCCACACUGGAACUGAGACACGGUCCAGACUCCUACGGGAGGCGGCAGUGGGGAAUAUUGGACAAUGGGCGCAAGCCUGAUCCAGCCAUACCGCGUGGGUGAAGAAGGCCUUCGGGUUGUAAAGCCCUUUUGUUGGGAAAGAAAAGCAGCAGGUUAAUACCCCGCUGUUCUGACGGUACCCAAAGAAUAAGCACCGGCUAACUUCGUG
rnacentral:rRNA from 1 species